UUCGGGACUGAUUAUUUUGUGACUGAGUGGCGGACGGGUGAGUAACGCGUGAGGAACCUGCCUUUCAGAGGGGGAUAACAGUUGGAAACGGCUGCUAAUACCGCAUAAGCGCACAGCAUCGCAUGAUGCAGUGUGAAAAACUCCGGUGGUAUAAGAUGGACCCGCGUUGGAUUAGCUAGUUGGUGAGGUAACGGCCCACCAAGGCGACGAUCCAUAGCCGACCUGAGAGGGUGACCGGCCACAUUGGGACUGAGACACGGCCCAAACUCC
rnacentral:rRNA from 2 species